UGAUCCUGGCUCAGAACGAACGCUGGCGGCAUGCCUAACACAUGCAAGUCGAACGGGAUCCUGGCUUCGGUCAGGUGAGAGUGGCGGACGGGUGAGUAACGCGUGGGAACCUGCCCAGUGGUGGGGGAUAACUGCGGGAAACUGCAGCUAAUACCGCAUGAGCCCGAGAGGGGAAAGAUUUAUCGCCAUUGGAGGGGCCCGCGUUCGAUUAGGUAGUUGGUGAGGUAACGGCUCACCAAGCCGACGAUCGAUAGCUGGUCUGAGAGGAUGAUCAGCCACACUGGGACUGAGAUACGGCCCAGACUCCUACGGGAGGCAGCAGUGGGGAAUAUUGGACAAUGGGGGCAACCCUGAUCCAGCAAUGCCGCGUGAGUGAUGAAGGCCUUCGGGUUGUAAAGCUCUUUUGGCGGGGACGAUGAUGACGGUACCCGCAGAAUAAGCCCCGGCUAACUUCGUGCCAGCAGCCGCGGUAAUACGAAGGGGGCUAGCGUUGUUCGGAAUUACUGGGCGUAAAGCGCGCGCAGGCGGUUCGAUAAGUUGGGGGUGAAAUCCCCGGGCUCAACCCGGGAAUGGCCUUCAAGACUGUCGAGCUAGAGGACGAGAGAGGUGAGUGGAAUUCCCAGUGUAGAGGUGAAAUUCGUAGAUAUUGGGAAGAACACCGGUGGCGAAGGCGGCUCACUGGCUCGUUUCUGACGCUGAGGCGCGAAAGCGUGGGGAGCAAACAGGAUUAGAUACCCUGGUAGUCCACGCCGUAAACGAUGAGUGCCAGGUGUCGGGGGACUUAGUCCUUCGGCGCCGCAGCUAACGCCUUAAGCACUCCGCCUGGGGAGUACGGCCGCAAGGUUAAAACUCAAAGGAAUUGACGGGGGCCC
rnacentral:rRNA from 1 species